AAUGUGACACUGAGCUGGGUAGUGGGUGGUUACUUCACAAAGGAAACAAGUCACCUGACUACUUGGGCACUCCUCAGCUGGGUGAUUUUAUUCACAAUAAGUGCAUCCAUCCUUGUGUUCUUCCUGGGUGUGUCCUAUUUCUCCACAGAUCUUGCAUGCACAAGUCCUCUCCUUCGGAUUAUCAUAGCACUUCUGAAUAAGUCGGGAUCUUAACAGAGUGUUCUUGAAUUUGUCCCAAGUUUCCCCUCCACUAAAUCCUUGUAUGGCAUGGUGCAUUUUCCACCAGAUAGCAGCACUUUAGGUAAAGUACUGGAGAGCGUGUUCCACUUCAUACUUCCUUGAGAUCAAGUUACUCCCGAAGUGGUUCUCCAUGUUUUGAAUCCAUAUCUCAGCUUCCAGCUGGGUCAUUGGUCCAGAGACUACAAGUCCAGCUUCAUACUC
rnacentral:lncRNA from 1 species